rnacentral:lncRNA from 1 species
AUAGAAAAUAAAAAUAUCCUCAUGAUGUAUAAACAUAUGAGGUAGAUAAAAUCUUCAAAGUCCUCCAUCCCUUCUCUCUCUACCAAAGAUAGUAUAAGGCCCUCCAAUCUUUUUCACUUAAAUGUCUCAUUGCCAUGUAUCCUCUGGUCAAAGUACUUCCUAACUAUAUCAAUCUUUUUUCAAAUACUCACUUUGAAAUUGACACAGGUGCCAU